UACAGAGGGUGCGAGCGUUAAUCGGAAUUACUGGGCGUAAAGCGUGCGUAGACGGCUAUCUAAGUCGGGUGUGAAAGCCCCGGGCUCAACCUGGGAAUUGCAUUCGAGACUGAAUAGCUAGGGUGCGGUAGAGGGAAGCGGAAUUUCCGGUGUAGCGGUGAAAUGCGUAGAUAUCGGAAGGAACACCAGCGGCGAAGGCGGGCAUCUGGGCUAACAACUGGACGCUGAGGCGCGAAAAGCUAGGGGAG
rnacentral:rRNA from 1 species